CCUCCCGCUUUCCCUCCCUGAGCGGGUGCCUUGGUGCUGACCAUCGAGGCCUUUCGCCCCGGCGCAUCCUCCUUGAGCCGGGGCUUUUUAU
rnacentral:ncRNA from 1 species